UACGUAGGUGGCAAGCGUUGUCCGGAUUCACUGGGUGUAAAGGGUGCGCAGGCGGAUUUGUAAGUCAGAGGUGAAAUCUCACGGCUUAACCGUGAAACUGCCUUUGAUACUGCAGAUCUUGAGUUCGGGAGAGGUUGAUGGAAUUCCAGGUGUAGCGGUGAAAUGCGUAGAUAUCUGGAAGAACACCAGUGGCGAAGGCGGUCAACUGGCCCGUAACUGACGCUCAGGCACGAAAGCGUGGGGAGCAAAC
rnacentral:rRNA from 1 species